CCAGGCGAUUAGGGGUCCAUGGCGGAUGCCUGAGGAGCUGACGGGCGAGGAAGGACGCGGCAAGCCGCGAUAGACCGCGGGGAGGGGCACACACCCUGUGAACCGCGGGUGUCCGAAUGGGGUAACCCGCAGGGAGAGAUUCCUGCACCGCGGGCGGUGAAUAAAAUAGCCGCGCGGGGCCAUACUGCGUGAAGUGAACCAUCUAAGUAACGCGGGAAAAGAAAUCAAGAGAGAUUCCCCGAGUAGCGGCGAGCGAAAAGGGAGGAGCCCAAACCGCCAUGAGCGGGGUUGUAGGGCCGCAUGGGGAUGACCCGUGGAGUUUAGGGAAAACGGUCGAGUAGCGGAAGGGCAUGGGAAGGCCCGCCGGAGAGCGUGAGAGCCGCGUAGGCGAAACGAGACCGACUCCAUGAUGCGGUACCUGAGUAGGGCGGGGCACGAGGAACCCUGCCCGAAUCCGGGUCGACCACGAUCCAAGGCUGAAUACCGUGCAGCUACCGAUAGCGAACGAGUACCGUGAGGGAAAGGUGAAAAGAACCCCGGCGAGGGGAGUGAAAGAGAACCUGAAACCAUGGACCCACAAGAUGUCGCGGCCCGCGAGGGUGGCGGCGUGCCUUUUGUAGAAUGAGCCUGCGAGUCACGGUAUGCGGCGAGGCUAAGGGAUGGGAGUCCCGGAGCCGGAGCGAAAGCGAGCCUGAACAGGGCGGGAAGUCGCAUGCCGUGGACCCGAAGCCAAGGUGAUCUAGCCACGGGCAGGCUGAAGCAGGGGUAAGACCCUGUGGAGGGCCGAACAGUAAUCUGUUAAAAAAGGUAGUGAUGACCCGUGGCUCGGAGCGAAAGACUAAACAAACCUGGAGAUAGCUGGCUCUCCCCGAAAUGCCUUUAGGGACAGCCUCACGGAAAGCCUGCGGAGGUAGAGCACUGGACGGGUGCGGGGGAGUCAAAUCCUACCAAGCCCGAUCAAACUCCGAAUGCCGCAGGCCAGCCCGUGGGAGUGAGACCGCGUGCGACAAGGUUCGCGGUCAAGAGGGAAACAGCCCGGACCGCCGGUUAAGGUCCCGAAACCAUGCUGAGUGUGAAAUGAGGUGGGGAUGCGCAGACAGCCAGGAGGUUGGCUCAGAAGCAGCCAUUCCUUGAAAGAGUGCGUAACAGCUCACUGGUCGAGCAUCCCCGCGCAGACAAUGUAACGGGGCUAAGCAUGGUACCGAAACCGCGGAUUCAUGCCUUCAGGCAUGACUGGUAGGGGAGCAUUCCGCUGACCGGAGAAGGGGGACCCGCGAGGGCCCCUGGAGGAGGCGGAAGAGAGAAUGCAGGCAUAAGUAACGAAAAGACGGGUGCGAUCCCCGUCCGCCGAAAACCUAAGGUUUCCUGCGUAAAGGCAAUCUGCGCAGGGUAAGUCGGCCCCUAAGGCGAGGCGGAAACGCGUAGUCGAUGGGAAAUCGGUGAAGAGUCCGAUACCACGCAUAUUUCGACGCCACGACGCAUGAGGCGGAGUCCGGCAGGGCGACGGUAGUCCCUGUCCAAGCGGCGACGCGGUGAGGGGCGGGAUAAAUGACGCUCCGAGCGGAGCCGUGGGCGAGGUGAGAGAAAGUCAAUCCGAAGCGGACCGAGCCAUGGUGCCGGGAAACAGUGGCUAGGCCAGGUAUGCGUGACCGUACCGUAAACGGACACACGUAGGUGGGAUGAGUAAUCUAAGGCGCACGAGCGACCCCGCGUUAAGGAACUCGGCAAAAUGCACACGUAACUUCGGGAGAAGUGUGGCUCCGUUUGUUGAAGAUUGGAGCGGCAGAAAGCAGGCCCAGGCGACUGUUUACCAAAAACACAGCCAUCUGCGAACCAGCAAUGGGACGUAUAGGUGGUGACACCUGCCCGGUGCUGGAAGGUUAAGGGGAGAGGUCAGACGUAAGUCGAAGCUUUGAACCGAAGCCCCAGUAAACGGCGGCCGUAACUAUAACGGUCCUAAGGUAGCGAAAUUCCUUGUCGGGUAAGUUCCGACCCGCACGAAAGGCGUAAUGAUCUGGGCGCUGUCUCGGCGAUGCACCCGGUGAAAUUGAAGUGCCAGUGAAGAUGCUGGCUACUU
rnacentral:rRNA from 1 species